AGGAUAAAAAGAACGACCACCCGCCCCCCCACCCUUCGAAGCUCCGUCUUCUCCACAGCAAACCCCAAUAGCCGGACCUCCCUCCACCACUCUGCUUUUUCGUCUUAUUUACAGACCCCAUGGGUCUGAUUCUUCUCCAUUCGAACACCAAACAAAUAUAGAGACUAAAACAAGCCAGUGGCAGAACCAAAUCACGACCCCUCCCCAUCGCCGGAAAAAAACGAGCUCCCGCAGUUCGCCGGAUCGACGAGCUCCAGCUGCGACAAACAGAACCAAACAACCCAUAGCAGCAGUUCGCCCUCCUGAACGUUGUCUUCUUCGUAGAAACUUGAUGCUGGAAAACGCCCAGAAGCCCCUUCGUCCACAACAACAGCCGCGGAUUUCUCUUUUUUUUUAAAACAACGUUAGACCUGGUUCGGUUCAUCAAUCAGGCGUCGAGGUGAUACUGGUUUCGAGGCCUGGUCGUGAUUCCGUCGAAGGUCAAUAAAUUUCCGGUCGAGGUCGUUGGUGUAUUUCCCAUCCGGUCAGUUGUUACAGCUUCGUUUUUCUGUCCGUGUUUCAACUUGUGCAAAUUUCUGAUUUGAAAACAGUGCAUAUGUUUGAUUUGUUCACUUGGUUAUCUCCUAUUUUACUGUUUAUGGGAUUAUAGAAUUGUGUUUUUUUUAUGAUGGUCCAAAAAUCAGUGGGAUCGAGUUAGCUAGCUGAUUUUGAUUUAGAUAAUAUAGUAAUCUACUUGUGCUUUCGUUUGGUGUUCUUAUAUAUUCCCAUAGUAUGAUCGUUUUGGAAUCAAGUGGCUCUUAUUGUGAAUAUGAGUGAAUCAGCGGGGCAGAGGCUUGGAAUUGGUAUAGAAAUACAUUGCUUGUUGCUUUCAAGAGUUGGAUUCUAUGAGUUGUUGAACAAAUCUGUGAAUAAUCGUGACCAAAAAUUGAUGUUCGUUUGUUAAUGAUUGAGAUUAUAGUGUUGGCAUAACUAUUUCCUUAUUCAGUCAUAAGAAUUAAUAGGUUUGAAGUGGCUGCGGCUCUGAAACGCAAUAGGGGCUACAUUUACAAUGGGAUAAAAUGGCUAAAAUCAUUUUUAUGUGUUAACAGGCCGUUUUUCCGUCUGAUUGUCCAUCUGAUUGUUGGAAGUGAGAGUUGUAGGAAUUAAGUUUAUGUAUAUUAGCCUAAUUUCAGUUGUUGUAGCAUCUCAAUGGCUUUCUCUGCAUAUUAGUUCAAAUUGCUAGUUUUAUAGAAAAUUUAAGGUGCGCCGUGCCAAAUAAAAAUAACAAAUGCAUGGCACCCGUGUUAAUGUAGAUAUGAAAUUGAUUAAUAUUCGUAGCGAGCCUUCAGGGCCGUUUAAAAUACAAUUGUGGUUGCGUAUACGUUCGCGUAACACGACCAUGAUUCUAAAUUUGGAGUUUGCGUCGGCCAAUCUUUUCUUAAUAAUAAAAUAUCUUAUAAGUUUUAAUUAUUUUUUAGUUUAUCUAAGUUCAUUGAAAUCACAUAUGUUCGCGCAACUUCGACCAAUCUUUUCUUAAUAAUAAAAUAGGUUACAAGUUUUAAUUAUUUUUAGUUUACACAAGUUCAUUAAAUCGCAUGGGGCCUUAGUAAUUUCAUAAAUUAGAUACAAGAUUGACACAAUUUCGUAGCAUAUCCUUUAGGGCCGUUUAAAUUACUAGCGCGAUUGCGUAUAUGUCCGUGUAACACAAUUACUCUUCUAAAAACAAAACUAGAGUGUGCGUUUGCAACUUUGGCCCAAAUUUUCUUAAUAAUAGCAUUAUUAAUUAUGGACACGUUCGCGUGACAUGAUUUUUGAUUCAUUAUAAUAUUGAACGAAGAGGGGGAACAGAGCCCUCCGUUUUUCUGUUUGUGAGAUAGGCUGAUAGGAGAGACACACCCUUCAGAGACAAAAUAAGAGCAGUGAGUCUUUGUGGAUAAGUACCAAGAGAUUGGAAUUGCAUUGCAUUGUCAAAAAAGACCAUAAUAUUCCUGUAGUACAACUGUUCUAAACUGUGAGGGAUAGAAACUAGAUAUAUGUUUUUUUGCAUCCAAGGGUGUGGCCUAGUAGUAUACUAGUUGUCAAUGAAGUAGGCAGAGAAUUAUGGGGUGUUAGGUUCAAAUUCCAUCAGAGACGAAAAGCAAAAGGUGUGCUAGUGAGAUAUAGAAGGUGCUGGUGGAAUAUUCAGCUGCCCGCAAGCAGGCUUGGACACUGCUGUCAUCCAGAAAGGAACUAGAUUUAUGUUCUCUUGCCAUGUUUUUUCCCUUUUGGCUUUAUGUUUCAACUUUGUUAUGCCGAUGCACUUCAAUAUUUGUUCUCUAGACGUCCUUUGCUCUUCUUCUUUUCAUUGCAUUUAAACCUAUUUUUCCUUGUAAUUAUUAAAAAUCGUUUACAGUUAAGGAGAACAUUGUAUGACAGUAUAGCAUAAAGUACGAUCAUGGCUGUUGAGGCUUUUUCCAAAACAAAGUUGAUGGCUGAAGUUGAUGAUGAUGAUGAUGAUGAUAUGCCCUUAGUUUUCAAACGAAGUAGUACCACAUCAAAGCAGAAUCAGUCAAAUUCAUCAUCUCAGAAGCAGGUUGGACGAUCGGGGCGGCAAGUUUCUGAUGUACGUUCUCCUAAUGGCCAGAACUCUAGUGCUCAGAAAGUUAAGGCAGGCACCUCUUCUAAGGCUUCUCCAGCAGUUUCACCUUUCACUAGUCCAAAAG
rnacentral:lncRNA from 1 species